AGGAUGAAGAGCCCUAGAGUGGCAAUAAAUUAAAUCUCCUGUGAGUCAGGAGAUUAGAGUUCUAAUUCUUCUUUGGUUCAAGCCAUCUGUGAGACCUUGGAGCCGAAGCUCACUCCACAAAGUGCCACUUGGAUAGAAGCAGUUGUUAUCUAUGUGGAAGCCAUCUCGGUCUGCACGUCCUUGGGAGAUACCCUGAAGCCCAGGACGAAGGAGUUUGCAGGAUGGGAAGACUGCCUGGGCCCGAGGAAGACGGAUCUCUUCAAAGUACUAUGAGAACUGGGUCUGAGGCAAGUGUAGCCUGAUCGCUCAGACUGAGGUCAGGGCCUCCACUCCUGGGGACUCAGAUCUCAGGCUCAUGAAACAUUUCCCCUGGACGCACAGCUGUGAUCUCCAACAUGUUGCAAAGUGUGGCUGCUUGUUUGUUUCAUUUGAACAAAUGGAGAAUACAUUGCCUUUGGACUCAGAUCAAGAAAACUCCAAGCUUUUCUCAGAGCAAAUGCAAAUAAGAUUUUGAGUGAAGUCUUCAGCUCUGAGGAAUGCUGUGUUCCCUUUCACCAAAAUACAUGCUUCCCUGGCCCCAGGCCUGGGGGGCUGUAGCCAGACACUGGCAGUGGAAACCCAGGAAGAUAGGAGCCUCUGGAAAUCUGCCAGAAAGCCAGUCAUGCAGCUCUUCUCCCCCGCCAGGCUGUUAUGCUAAACUCACACAUGCCUGAGGUGAAACAUUCUUUCCCAACACAAACACAGAACCUUCUGAAGACUCUUGAUUCUUCUUUAUCAGUCCCUUCUCUACUUUUCAUAGUGACUCUAAAUGGUAUUACUUUAGGAGAAAAAAAUGGACUCCCUUUUCUCAGGACAACAAACUACACAGAAUAUGCAUUUGUGGUCACCAGGAUGGCAAGGCAUGAGUUUUGAGUCUCACUUGAAAGCGAGGAGGGAAAGUAUGAGUCCAGCAAAAACCUUAGAACAACUCUUUAAGUUGAGUUUGGCCCUUCCUCCAGCUCCAAACUCUUCUGGCCAAGUGUUGUCAGUGGGCCCUCCAAGCUCCUUUUUGAGCUCCUGGGCACCUGCAAGAAGGGGGCUGCUGGCUAAAAAGGCAGCGAUUGGCCUUUGGAGAAGCUCUUCUGGGUUAUCUGGUCUACACUUGCCACUCUUGCUACCUUCCAACCCAUUCCUCGCUGUACACUAAAGGGGUCCUUGAAAAUUCGAAUCUGCUCUGUUACUCGCAAACUCCCACAAGGUCUACAGUGUGGUCUGGCCUGGUCUGGCCCCUGUGCAUGGCCCCAGUUUCAAUGCUGUGCCCUGCCCCAGCUACACAGGCUUUAUUCAGUUCCUUCCUUCUGCCAUGCUCGCUCCCAUCAUAGGUCUUUGCUUGUGUUCUGCUAGCUUCCUCUAACUUCACAUCUGAUUCACUCCUACAGCUCAUUCGGGUUGCAGCUCAAUUGUUACCUCAUCAGGGAAGCCUUCACCAACUCUAUGAACCAGCUACUUUCCCUGUUUUCUAGUCUCUGUUGCAUAGCCCUCAUUGACCUUUGUUCUACCAUUAGACCAUAAGUGCCAUACGAGUAGGAAUGGGUGUUUUAGUUUUUCUUUUUAAUAUAUAUCCAGUGCUUAGAAUAAUAUCAA